CUGGGAGUUGGAGCUUCUUUGCCGUUCCCGGCGGUUGGCGCUGGUCCGGCUGCGGCCCCCACAAGUACGUGUAAGCUCCCGGCUUACAUUCCAUCCCAUCGCAUCGCCAGCCAAGUACGCAAUCGGAUCACCGUCGUCGGUUUUCAAUGAACGAUGAGCUUCUGUCAAAAAAAAAAAAUAAUGUGCAUUGUAUUCAUGUGUCUGCUUAAAAUAUCCUUUUAGAAUCUCCUGGAUUGCUUUCCAUAGCCACCGGAAGGCAAGUGCCAAAUUCCGGUUGAUUCCGGGCCAAACCGGGAUGGUCGGCCUGGGCCAAAAUGAAAUUCAGCAACCGGCGCGGUCUUCACUCCGUCGGAGUUGUGGGAGUAGCUGAGUGGCUCACAGAGAUCGAGCACGGACACGAUGGGUCGAAUGGCCUCCUCCUGCGCUGUAAUCAUCGUGUGAUUCUAAUCAUCGUAACCCUCCUCUUCCCAGUGCGUUCAUUCUCGCUGGAUCGUGAUUCCAGGGGCCAAGAAGUCCUCCAGUAGUUCAUCUCAGUUGGCCUUCUUCACACGGGACCCCAGAGAGCUGUUCGAUCAUGCGGCCUGCACAACAACAAGUUUUCUCAUGUGAUUUGUGUUGGCCCGAGUUGAGUGCAAUGCCUGACCUGGCGGCUGCGACGAAGGGCGGUGUGUCCCGUGAGGCGUCGAAACAGUCGCUGAUUAAAGUCAGCAAGAAGCCGCCUAAGAAGCGGAGAAAAUCUCGCAAGCAGAGCUAUACCAUUUACGUGUACAGGGCGCUGACCCAGGUCCACCCUUCCACCAGGAUCUCGUCCAAGGCCAUGAGUGUUAUGAAUUCCUUCGUUGUCGACAUUUUCGAGCGCAUCGCCUCCGAGGCGUCGCACCUCAUUCACUACGACAAGCGCCGCACCAUCUCGGCCCGGGGGAUCCAGAGCGCCGUCCGCCUCAUGCUGCCGGGGGAAUUGGCCAAACACGCCGUCUCCGAAGGCACCAAAGCGGUCACCAAGUAUACCAACUCCAUUUAGGUCGACAAUUCUGAAGAUUAUAUAAAAAAAAAACAAGUUUUCUCAUGUGACAUCUAAACUGCUCAUUUUGCAGCCAGGCCGGCUGAGUGGGAAUUAAAUGAGCGAUUACUUCCUUGCCUUCUCCACCAGCUCAGGAUCGCUGAAAUAAAUUAUAACACCUUUCGUGACAGCUAUAGCGCAGUGGGUAGAACUCUCGCCUUUGAGUCACAGUGCUGAGAGUUCAAGUCCCAUUCCAGAGCUUGAGCACAAAAGUCAAGGCGCACACUCCAAUGCUGUACUGAGGGAGUGCUACCCUCUUGGGGGUGCUGUGUUUCAGAUGAGAUGUUGAACCAAAGGAGAGCAGAGGAGCUAUCCUUGGCAUUUUGGUCAAUAGUUAUCCUUCAGUCAACAUGAGUAAAAGAAUCUGGUCAUUAUCACAAUUAUUUGUGGGAGCUUUCAAGUGGAAUGCCAUUGCUUCUGGGGCUUUCCCACUGGCAAGAUGGUCAAUGGCCUUGUACAAUAAUGGGCUCACUGUCCAGUUCCUUUAUGACAGGAAAGUCUGGAAUGGCAGUGAGAUCCUCACCUCUGACAACAUUCUCCGUUGUGAAGAAUUUGAGGGAGCGUUCCACUCACCUUUCUAUGUGCUUGCUAGGUUCAGAGUAGAUCAUCCAUAUCUUUGUCUUCAAGGAGGGGAUGAUUUGGUUGCUGCAGGUCUGUUGCUUUCUUGAUUUCUUCUUAAAUCCUUGUAGCAUCCCAGGAUUCAAAAUCAUUGUAUGCAUUUUUUUACAUUCGUUCACGGGAUAUGACAGUCACUGGCUAGGCCAACAUUUAUUGUCUAUCACUCAUUGCCCUUGAGAAGCUGUUGGUGAGCUGCCUUCUUGAAUCACUGAAGUCCAUGUGGGGUAGGUACAACAACAGUGCUGUUAGGGAAUAAGCUCCAGGAUUUUGACCCAGCGACACCUUCAAGUUGACCAGGACUGGAGUCAAUGCAUGGGAAGUUCUCACUGCUGAUAAGAGGGCCUGGCGACAAGCAGCCAGGAAGGGCAUGGAAAAAGUAGAGGGCAAAAGAAAUGACCAGAUUGUGGAAAAGAAGGCCUUCCUUGAAGGAAGAAUCUGCCUCUACAGCCACAGAUGACGUUCAACGCUGAAAUGACAUACACCGAGGAUGCUGCCUGACUGGAGUGCUUCCAGCAUUUUCUGUUUUUGUCAAGAUCAAUAAAGAGAUCUCAUGAUGUUGAAA